ensembl:lncRNA
UGAUCUGGGUAUCCUUUAUCAGAUUGAAUAUGCCAGAAAGAACAUCGAUGGUGCCCACCACAAGAUUCAGGAGAAACUCAGCUCCAUAAAGGAAUGGCGUUCAAAUGGACACACACCUCAGGAGUGUGAUGCAGCAAGUGUUGAGUCCCGUACGCUGGCCUUGGCCCGCGGGCUCUCCCACCAGCUGCAGACCACCUGCCAGGGGUUGGUGUCGGGUCUGCAGGGCCUCCCCCAGCACGUCCAAGAUCAGGCGCUCACCAUCACCAACCUGGCCUCCGAGGUCUGCCGCAGCCUCAGCAAGGCGGUGGCGCUCGGGGACCUCUCUGACGGGGUGCUGUCCUCCAGCAGAGCGCAGCUGCACCGCCUCCGAGAGACGUUGGACACCACCAUGGACUACCUGGUGAACAACACGCCACUCAACUGGCUGGUAGGUCCCUUUUACCCACACAUGGAGCCCCCUGCUGCCGGCAUGGAGAAACGCCUGAGCUGCAAAUAGACUCACUAGCUGCACAAUGCCCAGUUCAGUGUGUGUGCUCCUCGGGCCAACUGCACUCACCCAGAGACUGACAUGGACCACACGGCUGAUGCCCUCCCUUCCCAAACCUGCACAAAGAGAAUGAUCUGUGGUAUGAAGGCAAGGAAAGCUGUGGACUGUACGCAGUAACUCCUGUUAACCCCUAGUGCUUUCGUGAAGAAGGGAGAAGCCUGUUUUGCUUAUGGAGAUUAACUGUGUUGUGUUUAAACACUACAUCAUUAACCUGCUCAUUUUCACAUUCUGCACGUUGAGUUAAUUACUGAACAAGCUGCCCAUAAUAAAUUCCACUUAACCAUACUACAUCAGUCACAUUCCUGUAAAGUCUCA